UACGGGGGGUGCAAGCGUUACUCGGAAUCACUGGGCGUAAAGAGCAUGUAGGCUGGUUAUUAAGUUGGAAGUGAAAUCCUGUGGCUCAACCAUAGAACUGCUUCCAAAACUGAUAACCUAGAGUAUGGGAGAGGUAGAUGGAAUUUCUGGUGUAGGGGUAAAAUCCGUAGAGAUCAGAAGGAAUACCGAUUGCGAAGGCGAUCUACUGGAACAUUACUGACGCUCAGAUGCGAAAGCGUGGGGAGCAAACAGG
rnacentral:rRNA from 1 species